GAAGGCAUCAAGAGUUGUGCAACCAUGAAAAAUGAUCACGCAUCACUUCUGAGAAGAGGCGGAUCACUUGGUUUUUUUCACGGCUGAUGAAAUAAAAGAUGAAACAUGUGAUUGUCAGAGGAGAGCUGACGAGUGGGUCAGACAGAGACAGACGGUCUACCUGGUCAUGGAUCUCCUGCUGAUGCUGUUGCUGUUGCUGUGGAGCUCAGGACUCCAGGCUGAAGAUGAACACCAAUCAACAGAGACUGUCAGGUUGGUGGGAGGAGCCAGUCGCUGUGCAGGUACACUGGAG